rnacentral:lncRNA from 1 species
UGAAGAAUACCUCUUUUUUCCAAGCUGGUGUUGGAAUCUCAACCGUCAACUUCCUCAUUUUCUUCACACUUCUUCUAUAAUGCAGGCCUAAGCCCACUGACCUGACCAUUAAUCACCUGGCCUUCAUCCACAUAGUGAUGCAAUGGUGUCAUUGUUUUCUCCAGGUGUGUUUGAGUCACUGUAUUUUCAGAAUGACUUCAAGUGUAAAGUAUUUUCCUACCUAAACAAUAUAAUAAGAUGUUUCUCCAGUUGCACAACCUGCCUCCUGAGUGUUCUUCAGGCCAUAAUUAUCAGCCCCAGCAGCUUUUGGUUGGUGAGGUUUAACCAUAAAUCCACCGUUUUCACCUGCCAUUUCUUCUUCUUUUCAUGUUUUCUCAGGUUUUUUUUUUUAGUAGUAAUCUCAUCUUGUACACUAUAGCUUCUUCCAGUGUGACCCUGAGCAAUCUUCUGCAUAUCAGUAAAUACUGUUCGCUUUUCUAUCAUCAGAAGACUGUUUCUUACUCUGUCAUUACCCAGAGAUGUUUUGCUUAUAAGGAUAAUGCUGCUUUCAAGUACAUGCAUG